GCCUGGGUAGCUCAGUUGGUAGAGCAUUCCCCUGAAGAGGGAAGGGUCCGCAGUUCGAACCUGCGCCCAGGCACAA
rnacentral:tRNA from 1 species